GUAUUGUUAUUGAUUCUUUAUAUUUAACUAGAUCCAAAAUAUUAAAAGUAGAGCUACUGCCAUAAUCAAACGAUAAAUCUACAAUAUAUGCAUUUGAUCAGAUUUUCUUUAAGAUCCUAAAGGGGCCUGCUCCACAUGCAUGUACUUUUUUGAUAAUUUUUGAAUAAAAUCAUUCUGGUCUAACCCGAAUCAUAACAUAAUCACCUUCA
rnacentral:lncRNA from 1 species